rnacentral:misc_RNA from 1 species
GGCGAAUCUUCUUCAAAACAUACCUAACAGGAGGAAAAAAUGCCAAGAAAAAGAAAUCCCAAAAAUCAAUGAGCUAACGGACAAAGAAUUGUGCCGACAGGACCACUACCUACCACUGUGAAUCCCAAAACCACAAUUUUGAUUCAAAUACUUUGUGAUUGUAAUUCCAAUCAAUUACUAUAACCAACCACAAGAAUGCUUACAAUUUCCUUCUUGAAAAUUUUAUUUCAUACAUAUCCACUUCAAUAAUAAAAUAGCAAAAUCGGUUCACAUCCUUCAAUUUGUCAAAACCCAGAAAUUGAAUAUUUCUGGAGAUUGAUACACACCACAU